rnacentral:rRNA from 1 species
AGAAUCAACGCUGGCGGCGUGCCUAACACAUGCAAGUCGCACGAGAAAGGGACUUCGGUCCUGAGUACAGUGGCGCACGGGUGAGUAACACGUGAAUCAUCUACCUUCGAGUGGGGAAUAACUGAGAGAAAUCUUAGCUAAUACCGCAUAACACCCACGGGUCAAAGCAGCAAUGCGCUUGAAGAGGAGUUCGCGGCAGAUUAGUUAGUUGGCGGGGUAAUGGCCACCAAGACGAUGAUCUGUA